GCUACACCCGUGGAGACAGCGGGGGUAUUAGUGGUGGUGCAAGCGUGAAUCGAAAUUACUUGGCGUAAAGCGUGCGCAGGAUGCUUAGUAAGUCAGAUGUGAAAUCCCUAGGCUCAACCUAGGAACUGCAUUUGAAACUAAUAAACUAGAGUAUCGUAGAGGGAGGUAGAAUUCCAGGUGUAGCGGUGAAAUGCGUAGAUAUCUGGAGGAAUACCAGUGGCGAAGGCGACCUCCUGGACGAAAACUGACGCUCAAGCACGAAAGCAUGGGGAGCAAACAGGAUUAGAUACCCUAGUAGUC
rnacentral:rRNA from 1 species